GACGAACGCUGGCGGCGUGCUUAACACAUGCAAGUCGAACGGAAAGGCCCUGCUUUUGUUGGGUGCUCGAGUGGCGAACGGGUGAGUAACACGUGAGUAACCUGCCCUUAACUUUGGGAUAACUUCACGAAACUGGGGCUAAUACCGGAUAGGAGCUCCUGCUGCAUGGUGGUGGUUGGAAAGUUUCGGCGGUUGGGGAUGGAAUCGCGGCUUAUCCGCUUCUUGGUCGGGUAGUGGCUUACCAAGGCUUUGACGGGUAGCCGGCCUGAGAGGGUGACCGGCCACAUUGGGACUGGGGUACGGCCCAGACUCAUACGGGAGGAAGCAGUGGAGACUAUUGCACAAUGGGCGGCAGCCUGAUGGAGCAACGCCGCGUGCGAGAUGACGGCCUUCGGGUUGUAAACCGCUUUCGCCUGUGACGAAGCGUGAGGGACGGUAAUGGUAAAGAAGCACCGGCUAACUACGUG
rnacentral:rRNA from 1 species